rfam:Clostridium sp. CAG:440 genomic scaffold, scf59
AAUUUAAAUUUAGUAUAGCCAAAGACAGUAGGCAACAACUAAGUCCUACCUAGGUAUGUAAUUUGAGUACAACGCACUCUUUAUAUGCCUAUGGCUAUAAAGAGUGUUAUUAAUUUUAUUU